ACAUACGACCAUAGGGUGUGGAAAACAGGGCUUCCCGUCCGCUCAGCCGUACUUAAGCCACACGCCGGUGAGUUAGUAGUUGGGUGGGUGACCACCAGCGAAUCUUCACUGUUGUAUGUU
rnacentral:rRNA from 1 species